UACGUAGGGGGCAAGCGUUGUCCGGAAUCAUUGGGCGUAAAGAGCGCGUAGGCGGUCCGGUAAGUCGGUUGUGAAAACUGGGGGCUCAACCCUCAGAGGCCGACCGAUACUGCUGGGCUAGAGUCCGGAAGAGGCGAGUGGAAUUCCUGGUGUAGCGGUGAAAUGCGCAGAUAUCGGGAGGAACACCAAUAGCGAAGGCAGCUCGCUGGGACGUUACUGACACUGAGGCGCGAAAGCGUGGGGAGCGAACAGG
rnacentral:rRNA from 1 species